rnacentral:rRNA from 1 species
AGCAGCCGUGGUAAUUCCAGCUCCAAUAGCGUAUAUUAAAGUUGUUGCAGUUAAAAAGCUCGUAGUUAAAUUUCAGGAUCAAAUUGUCGGUCAUGCCUCGGUACGUACUGGUAUUAUUGGUUCCUCCCUUCUGACGAACCACAAUGUCAUUAAUUUGGUGUCAUGGGAAAUCAGGACUGUUACUUUGAAAAAAUUAGAGUGUUUAAAGCAGGCUCGCGCUUGAAUACAUUAGCAUGGAAUAAUGAAAUAGGACGUUUGAUUCUAUUUUGUUGGUUUCUAGGAUCGACGUAAUGAUUAAUAGUGAUAGUUGGGGGCAUUAGUAUUCAAUUGUCAGAGGUGAAAUUCUUGGAUUUAUUGAAGACUAACUACUGCGAAAGCAUUUGCCAAGGAUGUUUUCAUUAAUCAAGAACGAAAGUUAGGGGAUCGAAGACGAUCAGAUACCGUCGUAGUCUUAACCAUAAACUAUGCCGACUAGGGAUCGGAUGAUGUUAAUUUUUUAAUGACUCAUUCGGCGCCUUAC